rnacentral:sRNA from 13 species
CAGCACAUUGUGGUCAUUUCUGGGAGCCGCCCUUGACGAUAGUUCGAUUCCCUCAUC